rnacentral:piRNA from 1 species
UCCUGUUACUAAUUUCAAUUG